GAUGAACGCUAGCGGCAGGCUUAACACAUGCAAGUCGAGGGGCAGCGAGUAGAUUGCUUGCAAUCUAUGUCGGCGACCGGCGCACGGGUGCGUAACGCGUAUGCAACCUACCCAUUACAGGGGGAUAACACUGAGAAAUCGGUACUAAUACCCCAUAACAUCCAGGGAGGCAUCUUCUUGGGUUGAAAACUCCGGUGGUAAUGGAUGGGCAUGCGUUGUAUUAGUUAGUUGGUGGGGUAACGGCUCACCAAGACAACGAUACAUAGGGGGACUGAGAGGUUAACCCCCCACAUUGGUACUGAGACACGGACCAAACUCCUACGGGAGGCAGCAGUGAGGAAUAUUGGUCAAUGGACGCAAGUCUGAACCAGCCAUGCCGCGUGCAGGAAGACGGCUCUAUGAGUUGUAAACUGCUUUUGUACGAGGGUAAACGCAGAUACGUGUAUCUGUCUGAAAGUAUCGUACGAAUAAGGAUCGGCUAACUCCGUGCCAGCAGCCGCGGUAAUACGGAGGAUUCAAGCGUUAUCCGGAUUUAUUGGGUUUAAAGGGUGCGUAGGCGGUCGGAUAAGUUAGAGGUGAAAUCCCGAGGCUCAACUUCGGAAUUGCCUCUGAUACUGUUCGGCUAGAGAGUAGUUGCGGUAGGCGGAAUGUAUGGUGUAGCGGUGAAAUGCUUAGAGAUCAUACAGAACACCGAUUGCGAAGGCAGCUUACCAAGCUACUUCUGACGUUGAGGCACGAAAGCGUGGGGAGCAAACAGGAUUAGAUACCCUGGUAGUCCACGCAGUAAACGAUGAUAACUCGUUGUCGGCGAUACAAUGUCGGUGACUAAGCGAAAGCGAUAAGUUAUCCACCUGGGGAGUACGUUCGCAAGAAUGAAACUCAAAGGAAUUGACGGGGGCCCGCACAAGCGGAGGAACAUGUGGUUUAAUUCGAUGAUACGCGAGGAACCUUACCCGGGCUUGAAAGUUAGUGACAGAUCUGGAAACAGGUCUUCCCUUCGGGGCACGAAACUAGGUGCUGCAUGGUUGUCGUCAGCUCGUGCCGUGAGGUGUCGGGUUAAGUCCCAUAACGAGCGCAACCCCUACCGUCAGUUGCCAGCAGGUCAAGCUGGGCACUCUGGCGGGACUGCCGGUGUAAGCCGAGAGGAAGGUGGGGAUGACGUCAAAUCAGCACGGCCCUUACGUCCGGGGCUACACACGUGUUACAAUGGCAGGUACAGAGGGCAGCUACCCAGCGAUGGGAUGCGAAUCUCGAAAGCCUGUCUCAGUUCGGAUUGGAGGCUGAAACCCGCCUCCAUGAAGUUGGAUUCGCUAGUAAUCGCGCAUCAGCCAUGGCGCGGUGAAU
rnacentral:rRNA from 1 species